UACGUAGGGUGCGAGCGUUAAUCGGAAUUACUGGGCGUAAAGGGUGCGUAGGCGGGCCCUUAAGUCAGUGGUGAAAGCUCCGAGCUUAACUCGGAAACUGCCAUUGAUACUAUAGGUCUUGAAUUCGGUCGAGGUUGGCGGAAUGUGUCGUGUAGCGGUGAAAUGCUUAGAUAUGACACAGAACACCGAUUGCGAAGGCAGCUCACUAGGUCUGGAUUGACGCUCAGGGACGAAAGCGUGGGGAGCAAACAGG
rnacentral:rRNA from 1 species